CUGUUGCAAGUUAACAUCAUUUGCUAACUUCAAGAUGGUGAAGAUCUGAUGAGCAGCUUCUUCAGUGAAUUAUAACCUUCUGAGUCAUAUGCUGUGACCUUCCUGGACUGAAACUUUGCAGCCAUAAGAAAUUUGACUGAAAUAGCUGCAGUUCCAAAUUGGUUCCAGAUUUUACUCUGCUCCUGAAUCUCAGAUGGCGAAUUUAUUUAUAGGUGUCUGCUUGCUUUUGUCUCCUACUGAGAAGAUACUACCUACUUUAUACAAAAAUACAUAGCUGAUGAUGUUUUGAUACAAAAAUUACUACAGCCAAGUAUACUUCCAAGAGAAAAUUAACCACUUUGGAUGGAAAAAAUAGAAAAAUAAGUUUGCACUCAAAUACAUACCUGCACUUAUGUCCAGUGACAGUCACACAUGAAUCAGAAGACAGAAUUUUACACAUCAGUGACUGUUCCCAGAAGUGACAGAGCUUUGGGUGUGCAAGGAAGGACUGACAAAUACAGUCAAAAAACCAGUCAAACCAUAGAGGAAAAAAAUGCUUUUCAGUGCGUUAACAAAGAGUUUCUGGGAGACAAGAACAUAGCCCAAAUUCCUUCCAACCAUUUAAAAAGGAAAACAGGAGAGUCUGUGCAAGAGAGAAACUUUCACCACUAUAUUCUCUGUCUACCUAACAUAAAGGAGAGAGGGAACAUUGUUCCAGCUCAGCAACAAAAAAAAAACGGUGGAGAAGCUGCCUAUGAACCCAGCAGAAAAUCAGGAGAUGUACCGGGUACCUAG
rnacentral:lncRNA from 1 species